rnacentral:rRNA from 1 species
GACGAACGCUGGCGGCGUGCUUAACACAUGCAAGUCGAACGGACAGGCCCUGCUCUUGUUGGUUUCUCGUUUGGCGAACACGUGAGUAACACGUGUGUAUCCUGCCCUUGACUUUGUGGUAACUUUAGGAAACUCGGGCUAUUACCGGAUAUGAUCUCCUGCUCCAUGUUGGUGAUUGGAAAGUUUCGGCGGUUGUGGAUCGACUCGCGGCUUAUGAGCUUGUUGGUGUGGUAGUUGCUUACCAAGGCUUUGACGGGUAGGCGGCCUGAGAGGGUGACCGGCGACAUUGGGACUGAGAUACGGCCCAGAAUCCUACGGGAGGCAGCAGGGGGGAAUAUUGCACAAUGGGCGGAAGCCUGAUGCAGAAACGACGCGUGCGGGAUGACGGCCUUCGGGGUGUAAACCGAUUUCGCCUGUGACGAAGAGUGAGUGACGGUAAUGGGUAAAGAAGCACCGGCUAACUACGUG